CAGGAGUUUUAUACAUUUUUUUCCCCUCAUGCCCCACUAAGCACAUCUCUGGCAUUUAGUAGUCUGUUAAUCUCCUGUUCCAAUGGCCAUCAUAGGAGCUAGGCACACAGAUGGGACAGUGUUACUCAGAAUUUGACAUUCCUGCAUGUUACCCCAGAAUUUAACUGUACAGCAGUCAGCAAUUUUGUAUGGUUUUCAGCUGGCUGUGGCUGAACAAACAGCGCAUAGAUAGGAAAAAAAAAAAAUCUUAGGCCCUGAGAGGCAAGGCCAAAUAACAAAACUGCAAGCAUGCAGUUAUGUUAUCAGAAUGGGAGGACGGGAUAAGAAGUGAGUGUACUGUGAGAAUAGAAAGAAUGUUUGGAUGGCUGACCUUGGUCUUGAGUGCUUCUGACAUGCAAGAUAUUAUUGUUAUGACUAUUCAUUAUCUCUUAUCAUUAAAACAUUUCUAGUUUUGCUGAAAGUAGAGGAAUUGGUGACCUAUUAGGUGUUACUAUGGUGACCCACUAGGAGUCACUAUAGGUUAUGUGCUUUGUUUGAAGUUAACUAUAAAAGAUUAGGUGAAAGAAUUUGCUUUGGACCAGUCCAAGGAAGCUUUCUUGGGGCAAUGAUCUGACAGCUGAGUUCCCCAGCGGCUAGAUGAAAGGCCAAUCAAAGAUAAGGGGAAGGGACAUUCCUCAGAGACAGUCUUCUUGCUGCAGCAGAAAAGCUUCUGCAGAACCUCCAUACAUACCUGAGCACCACUGAAGCUGCUGACAGUACUGAGAUAAAAUAUAUGGUCAGGAGUGCAAGCACGUUGCAAGAUCCUUAUGGCUAAUUUAAUUUGCUUUCUUUUAUCAGAGAGAAACCUCUCCACAACAGACAGGUGGUUGUUGAUGGUGGCUCCUUGACGUCUCACAGCAAGAAGAAGUAAGCUGCAAAUUUUUCAAGCCUCCCUCCUCCGUCCCGAAGGCUAUCUCAGAUAAAGCGGCGGGAAAAAAAACGCAUGCGAGAUGAAAUGUUCUCUGAGAUCAUGCAGUCGACCCGCAAUGAAAGAGCUCAUCUGAAUGAGUGGAAGAACACGGUAUCACAGCACAGGAAAGCGGCCAAUGAACGUGAGGACAGGAGGGAUGAACGUGAGGACAGAAGGGACGCUCGAGAUGAGAGGUGGCGGCAGGAAGAUCAGAGGAAGCAGGAUGCGACGCUGGGGCUACUGUGUGAUCAAAUGGACAUGCUCUGGUAGUCUGGUGGAGCUUCAGGAAUGGCAGCAGGAUCACAGAGUGCUGCUGCAGCCCCUGUAUAACCGCCCUCCCCAAGUUCCAUAACCUCCUCACCCAUAUGCCCAAAAAUGCGGGGGUGGGGCGGGGAGGCUCCAUGCACCCUGCCACUCCACCCCAGUGGACAGCCCAAGCAAAAGGCUGUCAUUCAACAAGUUUUGAAAUGGCCUUUUCCUUCCCUCCUCCCAC